rnacentral:rRNA from 1 species
CCCAACUAUCCCUAUUAAUCAUUACGUCAAUCCUAGAAACCAACAAAAUAGGAUCGAUCGUCCUAUUUCAUUAUUCCAUGCUAAUGUAUUCAAGCGUUAGCCUGCUUUAAACACUCUAAUUUUUUCAAAGUAACAGUCCAGAUUCCCCGCAACACCAAAUUAAUGGCAUUACGGUUCAUCAGGAAGGAGGAAUCAGUGAGACCAGUACAUACCAGUGGCACGACCAGCCUACUGACCCCGAAAUUCAACUA